rnacentral:rRNA from 1 species
GCAUGUGCGCGAGUCAUUGGGACUAAUUAAACCUAAAGGCGCAAUGAAAGUGAAGGUACGCCUCGCGCGGACCUAGGGAGGAUGGGCCCGUCCACGGGCGGGCCCCGCACUCCCGGGGCGUCUCGUUCUCAUCGCGAGAUGAGGCGCACCCAGAGCGUACACGCUGGGACCCGAAAGAUGGUGAACUAUGCCUGGUCAGGACGAAGUCAGGGGAAACCCUGAUGGAGGUCCGUAGCGAUUCUGACGUGCAAAUCGAUCGUCGGAACUGGGUAUAGGGGCGAAAGACUAAUCGAA